rnacentral:tRNA from 1 species
UAUAUUUUAGUGUAAGAAGCACAACAAAUUUUGAUUUUGUUAGGGUAGUUUAAUUCUAUGAAAUAUAA